rnacentral:rRNA from 1 species
UACGAAGGGGGCUAGCGUUGCUCGGAAUUACUGGGCGUAAAGGGAGCGUAGGCGGAUAGUUAAGUUGGGGGUGAAAGCCCGGGGCUCAACCUCGGAAUUGCCUUCAAUACUGGCUAUCUUGAGUAUGGGAGAGGUGUGCGGAACUCCGAGUGUAGAGGUGAAAUUCGUAGAUAUUCGGAAGAACACCAGUGGCGAAGGCGGCACACUGGCCCAUUACUGACGCUGAGGCUCGAAAGCGUGGGGAGCAAACAGGG